rnacentral:rRNA from 1 species
GCGGAGGAAAAGAAACCAACAGGGAUUGCCCCAGUAACGGCGAGUGAAGCGGCAACAGCUCAAAUUUGAAAUCUGGUCCCCCCGCGGGGCCCGAGUUGUAAUUUGAAGAGGAUGCUUCUGGCAAGGUGCCGUCCGAGUUCCCUGGAACGGGACGCCGCAGAGGGUGAGAGCCCCGUACGGUCGGACGCCGAGCCUCUGUGAAGCUCCUUCGACGAGUCGAGUAGUUUGGGAAUGCUGCUCAAAAUGGGAGGUAAACCCCUUCUAAAGCUAAAUACCGGCCAGAGACCGAUAGCGCACAAGUAGAGUGAUCGAAAGAUGAAAAGCACUUUGAAAAGAGAGUUAAAAAGCACGUGAAAUUGUUGAAAGGGAAGCGCUUGCGACCAGACUCGCGCCCGUCGGAUCAGCCGUCGCUCGUCGGCGGCGCACUCCGGCGGGCUCGGGCCAGCAUCAGUUCGCCUCGGGGGGAGAAAGGCGGCGGGAAUGUGGCUCUACGGAGUGUUAUAGCCCGCCGCGUAAUACCCCCGGGCGGACUGAGGACC